UUGCAUCAUGAUUUACAUUUGAGUGAGUGGCGAACUGGUGAGUAACACGUGGGAAACCUGCCCAGAAGCGGGGGAUAACACCUGGAAACAGAUGCUAAUACCGCAUAACAACUUGGACCGCAUGGUCCGAGUUUGAAAGAUGGCUUCGGCUAUCACUUUUGGAUGGUCCCGCGGCGUAUUAGCUAGAUGGUGGGGUAACGGCUCACCAUGGCAAUGAUACGUAGCCGACCUGAGAGGGUAAUCGGCCACAUUGGGACUGAGACACGGCCCAAACUCCUACGGGAGGCAGCAGUAGGGAAUCUUCCACAAUGGACGAAAGUCUGAUGGAGCAACGCCGCGUGAGUGAAGAAGGGUUUCGGCUCGUAAAACUCUGUUGUUAAAGAAGAACAUAUCUGAGAGUAACUGUUCAGGUAUUGACGGUAUUUAACCAGAAAGCCACGGCUAACUACGUGCCAGCAGCCGCGGUAAUACGUAGGUGGCAAGCGUUGUCCGGAUUUAUUGGGCGUAAAGCGAGCGCAGGCGGUUUUUUAAGUCUGAUGUGAAAGCCUUCGGCUCAACCGAAGAAGUGCAUCGGAAACUGGGAAACUUGAGUGCAGAAGAGGACAGUGGAACUCCAUGUGUAGCGGUGAAAUGCGUAGAUAUAUGGAAGAACACCAGUGGCGAAGGCGGCUGUCUGGUCUGUAACUGACGCUGAGGCUCGAAAGUAUGGGUAGCAAACAGGAUUAGAUACCCUGGUAGUCCAUACCGUAAACGAUGAAUGCUAAGUGUUGGAGGGUUUCCGCCCUUCAGUGCUGCAGCUAACGCAUUAAGCAUUCCGCCUGGGGAGUACGGCCGCAAGGCUGAAACUCAAAGGAAUUGACGGGGGCCCGCACAAGCGGUGGAGCAUGUGGUUUAAUUCGAAGCUACGCGAAGAACCUUACCAGGUCUUGACAUACUAUGCAAAUCUAAGAGAUUAGACGUUCCCUUCGGGGACAUGGAUACAGGUGGUGCAUGGUUGUCGUCAGCUCGUGUCGUGAGAUGUUGGGUUAAGUCCCGCAACGAGCGCAACCCUUAUUAUCAGUUGCCAGCAUUAAGUUGGGCACUCUGGUGAGACUGCCGGUGACAAACCGGAGGAAGGUGGGGAUGACGUCAAAUCAUCAUGCCCCUUAUGACCUGGGCUACACACGUGCUACAAUGGAUGGUACAACGAGUUGCGAACUCGCGAGAGUAAGCUAAUCUCUUAAAGCCAUUCUCAGUUCGGAUUGUAGGCUGCAACUCGCCUACAUGAAGUCGGAAUCGCUAGUAAUCGCGGAUCAGCAUGCCGCGGUGAAUACGUUCCCGGGCCUUGUACACACCGCCCGUCACACCAUGAGAGUUU
rnacentral:rRNA from 1 species